UGCUAGAGAAAUGCAAGUCAGAACCAGUGUGGCAUCACCGCACUCCUGCCAGAAUGGCCAUCAUUAAAAAGGCCACAAAUGGAGUUCCCGUCGUGGCGCAGUGGUUAACGAAUCUGACUAGGAACCAUGAGGUUGCGGGUUCGAUCCCUGGCCUCGCUCAGUGGGUUAAGGAUCCGGCGUCGCUGUGAGCUGUGAUGUAGGUGGCAGACGCGGCUCAGAUCCCGCGUUGCUGUGGCUCUGGCGUAGGCCGGUGGCUACAGCUCCGAUUCGACCCCUAGCCUGGGAACCUCCACAUGCUGUGGGAGCGGCCCAAGAAAUGGCAAAAAGAAAAAAAAAUUAAAAGGCCACAAAUAAUCCACGUGGAGUGGGUGUGGAAAAAGCAGGUCCCCCUACAAUGUUGGUGGGAAUAAGAAUCUCCCGAACAGCACAGAGAACUAUACUCUGUAUCUUGUAAUAACCUACAAUGGAAAAUAAUCUGAUAAACAUGUGUAACUGAAUCACUUUGCUAUACACCUGAAAUGAACACAACAUCAUCGCAAAUCAACUGCAAUUAAAAAAAGGAAGAAGAGGCCAGAGAGCCGGCUCACUCUCUCUGCCAUGUGAGGGCAAAAUGAGAAGGCAGCCGUCUGCAAGCCAGAAGGGUCUCACCAGAACCCCACAUGCUGGCACCUGAUCUUGACAUUCCAGCCUCCAUAACCAUGAGAAAUAAGUUUCUGCUGUUUACAAGCUAGUUGGGGUCGGGGGUGUUAUAGCCCAGCUGACAGAACAGGGUGGAAGAAGCUGCAAGCAUUUUCCAUAAGGUAUCCUUCUCUGCAUGUGCAGGAAACAGGCUUACUCACGGUGUGCACAAGCAUGCACGCUCUCUGCUCACCGUGUGUGUGUGCACUCACACACACACACACCUGUAUGUUCUCAGCUGUUCACAGCUCAUUGUUGCCUUUGCUCUUUCUCUCUCUCUCUCACACACACAGAGACACGUCUGUAUGUUCUCAGCUGUUCACAGUCCAGCUCAAUGGGCCUUUUCCGUCACACCUUCCCUGCCUGCCUGCCUGCCUCAUUGCCAGUUCCCAUCCUGCACAGAUCUGCUUGCACCACAGCCCCUCCUGUCUGACCCCGAGCAACACUUUACCUCAUAUCCUGCCCCACAGCAGCCCUCGGGGUGCUUUCUGGUGCAUGUGCAGAGCUCAGAAACAUUUGCUAAAGAAAUCUGAGCCAGAGAGGAGCUGAGAUCACUCAUCCGAGCUCAUUGACCUCCCGAGGUCACCCCAGCCUCAUUGCAGUGGGUAAGCUGCAGGGCCCUUCUCUGACUCGGCGAGGUAAGGGGACAGCAGUAGGGACGUGAGCAGAGGCAUUCGGUUGAACAUAAAAUCAAGUUUCCCAAAAUCGUGCUGUUGGCUCCUGGCACUUUCCCUCCUGGCCGAUGGUCAUGGGUUCUACUGAGGAGGGAAAUGACACGAGGAGAAGGACCUCGGACCUUCCGUUGUGGGGUU
rnacentral:lncRNA from 1 species